rnacentral:rRNA from 1 species
UACGGGGGGGGCAAGCGUUGUUCGGAAUUACUGGGCGUAAAGGGCUCGUAGGCGGCCAACUAAGUCAGACGUGAAAUCCCUCGGCUUAACCGGGGAACUGCGUCUGAUACUGGAUGGCUUGAGUUUGGGAGAGGGAUGCAGAAUUCCAGGUGUAGCGGUGAAAUGCGUAGAUAUCUGGAGGAAUACCGGUGGCGAAGGCGGCAUCCUGGACCGACAUUGACGCUGAUGAGCGAAAGCUAGGGGAGCAAACGGG